rnacentral:rRNA from 1 species
GUCGAACGGGGUCUUAGUACGGAAGUUUUCGGAUGGAAGGAUUAAGACUUAGUGGCGGACGGGUGAGUAACGCGUGGGUAACCUGCCCUGUACAGGGGGAUAACAGUUGGAAACGGCUGCUAAAACCGCAUAACAUGGAGAUACCGCAUGAUAUUUCCAUCAAAUAUUUAUAGGUACAGGAUGGGCCCGCGUCUGAUUAGCCAGUUGGCAGGGUAAUGGCCUACCAAAGCGACGAUCAGUAGCCGGCUUGAGAGAGUGACCGGCCACAUUGGGACUGAGACACGGCCCAAACUCCUACGGGAGGCAGCAGUGGGGGAUAUUGCACAAUGGGGGAAACCCUGAUGCAGCGACGCCGCGUGAGUGAAGAAGUAUUUCGGUAUGUAAAGCUCUAUCGGCAGGGAAGAAAAAAAUGACAGUACCUGACUAAGAAGCCCCGGCUAACUACGUGCCAGCAGCCGCGGUAAUACGUAGGGGGCAAGCGUUAUCCGGAUUUACUGGGUGUAAAGGGAGCGUAGGCGGCCAUGCAAGUCAGAAGUGGAAACCCGGGGCUCAACCCUGGGAGUGCUUUUGAAACUGUGCGGCUAGAGUGUCGGAGGGGUAAGUGGAAUUCCUAGUGUAGCGGUGAAAUGCGUAGAUAUUAGGAGGAACACCAGUGGCGAAGGCGGCUUACUGGACGAUGACUGACGCUGAGGCUCGAAAGCGUGGGGAGCAAACAGGACUAGAUACCCUGGUAGUCCAUGCCG